GACAGAGGGUGCGAACGUUGUUCGGAAUUACUGGGCGUAAAGCGCGUGUAGGCGGCAGCGCAAGUCGGGCGUGAAAUCCCACGGCUCAACCGUGGAAGUGCACUCGAAACUGCGCAGCUAGAGUCCUGGAGAGGAAGGUGGAAUGCUUGGUGUAGAGGUGAAAUUCGUAGAUAUCAAGCGGAACACCGGUGGCGAAGGCGACCUCUGGACAGUGACUGACGCUGAGACGGCGAAAGCGUGGGGAGGCAACAGG
rnacentral:rRNA from 1 species